GUGCUCGCUUUGGCAGCACAUACACCAAAAUUGGAAUGAUACAGAGAUUGGCACGGCCCCUGCACAAGGAUGACACGCCAAUUCAUGAAUGGUCCAUAUUUUU
rnacentral:snRNA from 1 species